rnacentral:ncRNA from 1 species
GAAAGUUUUAUUUUUGUUUUAAAAAUUAGAUUAAAUUUUGUAUUUAUAUGUAAAUUUUUGUGUGAUAAUAAAUUAUUUUUUUAAAAAAAAUAAAUAUAGUAUAUAUUCGCAGUAAAUAAUUUUAAAAAUUAAUGAAAAUUAGAUUUAGAGAAGUUUAUAGUAUUAACUAAAUUUGUGCCAGCAGUUGCGGUUAUACAAAUAAUACAUUUUAAUUUUUUUUAGUAUUAAUACAUUUUAUAUAAAAAAUUUUAAGGAAAGGUUUAUAAAGUGAAAUUUUUAAAUUUUUUAAUAAAUUGAUUUAUGGAAAUUAUUUAAUAAAUUUAUUAAUAGACUAGGAUUAGAUACCCUAUUAUUAUAAACGUAAAUUUGUACUAGAUUAGUAGUAGUUAUGUUCUUGAAAAUUAAAAAAUUUGGCGGUAUUUUAGUCUAUUCAGAGGAACCUGUUCUAUAAUUGAUAGUCCACGAGUUAUUUUACCUUUAUUAUUAAUUUGUAUAUCGUCGUAGUUUGAAUAUUUUAGGAGAAUUUAAAUAUUCAAAAUUUAAAUUUUAUUUAGAGGAAAUCAGAUCAAGGUAUAGUUUAUAUAAAGGAAGAAAUGGGUUACAUUAAUUUUAAUUGAGGAUAAUAGAUUGAAAAUUUAUUUGAAUAAGGAUUUGAAAGUAAUUUUUUUAGAUAAGAAAAAUGAUUUUAGCUCUAAAAUAUGUACAUAUCGCCCGUCGCUUUCAUCCCAAGGUGAAAUAAGUCGUAACAAAGUAGGCUUACUGGAAAGUGAGCCUAGAAAGAU